rnacentral:rRNA from 1 species
AGUGAACGCUGGCGGUAGGCCUAACACAUGCAAGUCGAACGGCAGCACAGUAAGAGCUGCCUUUUACGGGGGGGGAGUGGCGGACGGGUGAGGAAUAAAUCGGAACCUACUUUUUGGUGGGGGAUAAGGAAGGGAAAUUAACGCUAAUACCGCAUACGCCCUACGGGUGAAAGCAGGGGAUCUUCGGCCCUUGCGCGAUUGAAUGAGCCGAUGUCGGAUUAGCUAGUUGGCGGGGUAAAGGCCCACCAAGGCGACGAUCCGUAGCUGGUCUGAGAGGAUGAUCAGCCACACUGGAACUGAGACACGGUCCAGACUCCUACGGGAGGCAGCAGUGGGGAAUAUUGGACAAUGGGCGCAAGCCUGAUCCAGCCAUACCGCGUGGGUGAAGAAGGCCUUCGGGUUGUAAAGCCCUUUUGUUGGGAAAGAAAAGCAGCAGGUUAAUACCCCGCUGUUCUGACGGUACCCAAAGAAUAAGCACCGGCUAACUUCGUG